CUAAUACUCCCUCCGUCCGGAAUUACUUGUCACAAAAAUGAUAGAAAUGGAUGUAUCUAGAACUAAAAUACAUCUAGAUACAUUCAUUACUCGGACAAGUAUUUUCGGACGGAGGGAGUACAAC
rfam:Hordeum vulgare subsp. vulgare, WGS project CAJW01000000 data, contig: morex_contig_82926